rnacentral:rRNA from 1 species
UACGUAGGGUGCAAGCGUUGUCCGGAAUUAUUGGGCGAAAGAGCUCGUAGGCGGUUUGUCGCGUCUGCUGUGAAAACCCGAGGCUCAACCUCGGGCCUGCAGUGGGUACGGGCAGACUAGAGUGCGGUAGGGGAGAUUGGAAUUCCUGGUGUAGCGGUGGAAUGCGCAGAUAUCAGGAGGAACACCAAUGGCGAAGGCAGAUCUCUGGGCCGUAACUGACGCUGAGGAGCGAAAGCAUGGGGAGCGAACAGG